AACGUCCUUAUCGAGGGCAGUUUUGAUGGGACAAUGAACGUUUAGUGAGGCCCGUCUUGCUGACACCCCGAAUACAACAAGUAAACCCUACCUGAAAAGGUUUGGGUAAUUUUUGGAACC